rnacentral:rRNA from 1 species
ACGUAGGCGGCAAGCGUUGUCCGGAAUUAUUGGGCGUAAAGGGAGCGCAGGCGGGAAAUUAAGCGGAUCUUAAAAGUGCGGGGCUCAACCCCGUGAUGGGGUCCGAACUGGUUUUCUUGAGUGCAGGAGAGGAAAGCGGAAUUCCCAGUGUAGCGGUGAAAUGCGUAGAUAUUGGGAAGAACACCAGUGGCGAAGGCGGCUUUCUGGACUGUAACUGACGCUGAGGCUCGAAAGCUAGGGUAGCGAACGG